AAAAUGAAGUUUACAUAUUAUGAUUUUUGAUUGUUCGUUGAAUUUUUGAUUUUAGGUUAGGAAAUCGAAGAAAGAUUGACUUAGUUUGUAGAGUAGGUGAGACUGAGAAUGAACCUGAUUGCAACCACGAUAAGGUUUCAUUACUGAGAGAGUUGAUGUGUUGGAUGACUUACGACGUGCACUUGCUACGUUCUUGGCAUAGUUCUGACGCCUUUAAAUAGGAGUGCUCAAGCUGGAACAUACAUCCUAAGAUCUCGGAGGUAGCUCCACAUGAAGUGCGCGCAAUCUCAACAAACCUCCUACAGUUGUGUCAUUCAGCUUACCAUUCACAGACACAUGGUCAAACUGAAAUUGUCAAUAAAUGUCUUCAAAAUUUUCUUAGGUGAAUGUGUUGUGAGUAUCCCAAGGAUUGGUCCAUGUGGUUACCACUUGCUAAAUGGUGGUAAAAUACUAACUACCACACUUCUAUGCAGGCUACUCCAAAUGAGAUAGUGUAUAGUCAAACUCCUCCUGUGCAUCUAUCUUAUUUACUUGGAGAAACAAGGGUGGCAGUUGUAGAUAGGUCACUGCAGAAAUGAGAUGCUAUGAUCAAGCUGUUGCAUUUCAAUUUGCAGAGAGCUCAAAAUAGGUAAAAGGUGCAGGUAGAUAAAAGAAGACAAGAGAGAAGCUUGUGGUAGGUAGUUGGGUUUGGUCGAAGCUUCAUCUUUAUAAACAGACGACUUUGAGAAGAUAGGUCUUAACAAUGUGAAGUUGUCUUCUAAGUAUGCAGGGUCAUUUUAGAUAGUGGCAGUCAUAGGGAAAGUUGCUUAUAAGCUCAAGUCGCCUGAAAAUGUUGCAGUUCACCCACUAUUCCAUGUUUCACAAUUGUAAGCAUUCAAAGGUUUAAUUCUAGCAAUAGCACACAUUUCAUCUUGGUUUCAUGGGCAGCCUGAUUCUACAACUUUGCAACCAUUGGCUCUAUAUGAUAGAAGAGUGAUCAAGCACCAAAAUGCAGCAUAUGUUCAGUAUCUCAUUCAGUGGGAAGGCAUGAGAGAUGAGGAAGCUACUUCGAAAAGUGCUGAAGUUUUUAGCAACAAUUUCUCAAGUUUGUAAUAUCUUAACUGUUGUUAUUAAUUUACAUUUUGAAUUAUAUUAGCAAUUUGUUAAACAAACUUGUGGGCAAGUUUGUUGUUAAACAGGGAGAAAUAUAAUAAAAUGUUAUUAGGUUGUUAUUGUUA